rnacentral:lncRNA from 1 species
CCGCCCCUCGUCCCCCUCUCCUUCCUCCUCUCGUCCACUUCUCGGGAGCUUCUCCAUCUUUCGCGCGCUGGGGCUUCCGUAGUCGUUCUCGCCUUCAGUCAAAUUCCAGAAACAGGUUGGUUUCUACUCCCAUCAUCUCUAACUGUGUUUGUUGAUUAUCGUGGUAUGGAUUGAUUACAUCGUUCCCGGGACUUAAACAGAAUCAAGUCAGUGCAUCCUUUCGCCAAAUAUCUCAUGAAGGUCGCUGUACCACCUGAUUUCGUGCAAUACAGAGUAGGAGUAAGAGUUGCUCUUUUUUCUUCAACCUCGCCUCGAAAAAUCUGCGUCCGAGCACGAGUAUUUGUGCUUAUUUCUUACUGGGCAAGAGACUAUGGUGUUCUGGGUUCCUUUCGUGAGGUUUCGAGAUUUGGGUUUGAGAGUCGCUUAUGCCCGUAUCAAGUGAAUUGUGAUAAAAUCGAGGGAAGUUUUGAGACAUGAUACAUACAGUUCUGCGUUGGGGCCAAAAAAAUAGACAUUCAGAUAAGUAGACUUCUCUGAAUUAGCAAAUAGGCAGAGACAAGGUAAAAGGGAGCUCGCUUCUCUGUCUAGAUUGCCGUCUCUCACUUCUCUGGGUUUUCUUCGUUUUCCUUUCUUAAUUAUUCAUUUUUUUUGUCUGGUUUUGUGUGGUCGCUUUUGGCUGCUUGUGGAGUGAAGAUAGCUGGGUUCUCUGUUGAUGCCACAAUUUGAAUCGUCAGUCUUUGAGCUUAUAUAUGAUGCAGGUGUUGGGUCUCUGACUGUGUUGAUUUUUCGGGUAAGUUUUGAGGUUGCUUGAGCCUUUUGGGAGUAACGAAAUCUGUAGGCUUGAUUGGUUUUUCACUGCCGGUGCUUGUAGAUGUUUGCUGGAUCUUUUAAUCAUAAGCAAUUGUUAAAGUUGUGCAUAUCUUUAUGGAUGUUGUUCAGACUUGUUUAUUAUGUGCCACUCUAGAAAAGUUUGUGAAACAAUUUUCUCAGUUUCAAGUACAGUUGUGAUGAUCGUCAUGUAUUUUUAUAGCAGUCUCUCGAACUCCAGAUGCUCUUGUUCCUUAAGAACGUGUGGACAUGGAUGCUGAAUCACCAUUCUUUUGUUUGACUCAAAGUGUCAAAUUUUUUGAAAACUUGAUUGGAACUUGUUUCCAGCAGUUUCGAGGUCUUAUCCAGCACUUUGCAUCUCCAAGUGGAAUGGAGAAGAGGAACCAGUCGAUCAGGUGGAAUUGUUUUCCUUGAUCUACAGGAGUUAAAGG